GCAAACUGCAUUUAUUAAGCAGCACAGCCUUCUCUAAGAGGCAGAGAAAUUUAUUUGGCACAAGUCUACAAAGUCAUGGAAACAAGAACAACACAAGAAAAAGAAAUGAGUGUUAAAUACGUUGUACUUCUCUUCAUAGGAGGGGUAACUUGUUGAACGAUAACAAGAGAAAUCCUUCUCCAUCUUUUUCUAAUUUUAAUUUAAUAGAAAAUCAAUAUUGAAAUGAAUCAAGAGAGAGACAUCUUUUGAAACAGGAAUUAAAAAAAAAGUCUUUAAUAAAACAAUUUUUGUUUAAUUUUGUAACUUUAUAUAUGCUUGCAUGAAUGAAUUCAAUUUCCUGUUGAAAAGGACAAAACCAGAACACUUUUGGUUUUGAUGAGACCUUUGGAUUGUCUCAUGGGAACAACUCCGACAUUUUUUGCCAUUUUUAACACCAUUAAAGUGAUAUGUGGACUGUAUACACUAUGUUGAAGCCUGAAUCCUGCUUCCUUCAGUGUGGUGUUAAAUGGUCAGUCCUGAAGCUACUGGGGGAAUUGUUAGUACAGCAGUGGUUUAGUUGGAAUACAGAGGCAGGUAAAGGGGAGAGGGAGGGCAUCUGCUGUGGAAAGUGUCCGGGAUCUGCUUGUUUAAAAUACAGUUGGUAGCCUGCAUUAAAGGGGUAUGUCUUCAGCUAUAUCUGGGGAUGAGAUUAUAUCACAUCAGGUUGAUUUCAUAUCUCUGGCCUUGUAGAAUUUAAGUGCUUUUAUAUGAGAAUAAUCCAAUUCUUGAUGUUCUUGGAGAAAUUUGUGUCCCAGAGUUUUGUACACAAAGACUUUUUUUUAGAGGCUGUCCCUGGAUUCCAGAAAACAGAACAUUCAGCUGUGUCCAGCUUUCUUUCAAAGUGUUUGGGUCUUCUGAAUGGACCCAAGAAGAAAGUCAUAUUUCUGUUCUGCAGAGGCUAUUAGGAUAACUACUGUGGCGUUGUUUAACUACAGCUCCCCUAAGAAGGGUGAGCAGAUACAGGUAGAGCAGAUAGAGACGUAAGAAACCUUUUAAAUAACGCAGAUUUUAUUCCCUCUACAAUUUAGUCACCUUUGGUAAGGUUUGAUUGAAAUAUGGGAGGAGGGAGUGCCUAGCUUUGCAGUGGUAAAUUAACAAACCAUUACCACUGGAGUUUAUUCCAAGUGAAAGUGUGGGAAGGAGCGUUGAAUACUAAAAGCUUAGAAAAUUGUUACUCAUUCUUCUUUACUUGAUGACCUUUUGCAAAGCAUUAAAUACUGUUCUUGGAGACUGGAAACACAGGAAGAAGGAUUUUUUUAUUUUUUUUUAGGUAAUGAGCUUAUUUAGUAGCACAAGAUUUUGAUGCUUAAAACUGAGCAAAGAUUAUAAAAAUUGCUGUAAUUUGCUUUAAAGUUAAGCUGCUAAGAGACCAGAGAUGUAACAUGUGCUUUAUGUUUUCAGAUUUACUGCUUUAAGACCCAAUCUUUAUUCGUUUUUCACUCUGGAAAACUGUAGUACCAUUGACAGCUCUUUUCUCUAGAUAAUCUGUAGUAGGAUACCCAAGUGGCUUUUUGAUUUGCUGGACUGGUUAGAGUGAAGAGCUGUAAGGUUGAAUUGCUUUUGACUGACUAAGCUGGGGGGAAGGGGAAGAGAUGAGAUGAAUAAAAAAGAAAGGAACAGCAAAUAACAUCCCCUGAGAACCUCUAGUUUUGAAGCUUAAGAGCUUGCUUAUUACAUAUUAAAAAAUAAUUUCUCACAUUGAUCAAAACAUAUUUAAAAUUAGAGGAAAAUGCAAUGCUAUUGUAAAACUGUAGGUAUCUUUUUGAAUGCUGAUAGUGUAGUGGCUCAUAUGGAAAUGAUUAGACUUCAGUUUUGUUUUGCUUGUACAGCUUGAGAAUUUUUUUCUUGGUCUUGCUGAAACAAAGAUUCUGAUACUGAGGUACCAAGAAUUUUUUUUUCUGGAAUCAUUCAGAAAAAAGUUCAGAAGGGCAGCUACUUCUUCUCAAUAAAAUAAUUCUGUAAAUACUCUGUCCAGCAUUAGCUCUUGUGUUUAAUGCCAAAUUUCUAAAGACUUUUAAUCUACGCUGGCUUUUUUCUUAGUUUUGGCAAACGUAAUAUGAAUGGUUCAUGAACUCUUUAUAGAAAUGGGAAUUUUUGAAGUUUCAUAUGUCCAGUUAAGAGAUCCAAUUAAAAAGAUAGGCAUUUGGAUCAUGUUUUCAAAAGACUUCUGUCUGCAAAAGGAGCAAGCUGUGUGUAUGUUCAGCCAUAUGCCUGUUGUGAUGCCAUGUGUAGAACAGCUGUAGUGGAAUGUGUCUCCUUUCUGACCUGAGGAGAUUAUAUUGAAUAGCUGAUUCCAAGUAAUCAAAUGCUGGAGCUGUACAUAAUAUGUACUAUAAAUGUAUUUUUAGCCUCUAGGAUUAUCUGUCCAUGCGUUAAUUCUGUAAUAAAGUUAGAGCAUGUGGA